rnacentral:rRNA from 1 species
GAUGAACGCUGGCGGCGUGCCUAAUACAUGCAAGUCGAGCGAACAGACGAGGAGCUUGCUCCUCUGACGUUAGCGGCGGACGGGUGAGUAACACGUGGAUAACCUACCUAUAAGACUGGGAUAACUUCGGGAAACCGGAGCUAAUACCGGAUAAUAUAUUGAACCGCAUGGUUCAAUAGUGAAAGACGGUUUUGCUGUCACUUAUAAAUGGAUCCGCGCCGCAUUAGCUAGUUGGUAAGGUAACGGCUUACCAAGGCAACGAUGCGUAGCCGACCUGAGAGGGUGAUCGGCCACACUGGAACUGAGACACGGUCCAGACUCCUACGGGAGGCAGCAGUAGGGAAUCUUCCGCAAUGGGCGAAAGCUUGACGGAGCAACGCCGCGUGAGUGAUGAAGGUCUUCGGAUCGUAAAACUCUGUUAUUAGGGAAGAACAAAUGUGUAAGUAACUAUGCACGUCUUAACGGUACCUAAUCAGAAAGCCACGGCUAACUACGUG